AGGUGAGGUAGGAAAGUCCGGACACCAAAGGGAAGCAUAGCGGCUAACGGCCGUCGUCUCGAUAGCUAUCGGGAUAGGACCAGUGCAACAGAAAGAA
rnacentral:RNase_P_RNA from 11 species